rnacentral:rRNA from 1 species
UGGGGAAUAUUGGACAAUGGGCGCAAGCCUGAUCCAGCCAUGCCGCGUGAGUGAUGAAGGCCCUAGGGUUGUAAAGCUCUUUCACCGGUGAAGAUAAUGACGGUAACCGGAGAAGAAGCCCCGGCUAACUUCGUGCCAGCAGCCGCGGUAAUACGAAGGGGGCUAGCGUUGUUCGGAUUUACUGGGCGUAAAGCGCACGUAGGCGGACUUUUAAGUCAGGGGUGAAAUCCCGGGGCUCAACCCCGGAACUGCCUUUGAUACUGGAAGUCUUGAGGAUGGUAGAGGUGAGGGGAAUUCCGAGUGUAGAGGUGAAAUUCGUAGAUAUUCGGAGGAAAACCAGUGGCGAAGGCGGCUCACUGGACCAUUACUGACGCUGAGGUGCGAAAGCGUGGGGAGCAAACAGG